ensembl:lncRNA
CCCAAAUCUGCCUAAUGAGAGCAACAGACCAACUGGACACAAGCAAAACAUUUCCUGGGGUGUGAUUGUGAAGGGAGAGCCUUAUUGGAGCCCUUUGAAGCGGAGGGAGAGUGGACGGUGAGAGCCGGCUGCUUGGGCUUUUUAGGGUCGUCUGUGCGGGCGAGGCUAUUUCGAGUCACAAUAGUCGGAGGAAACGUGCUUAUAAAUGUUUCAAGAAGGGUGCAGCAUCUUAGGACGCGAGACAGAGAGCGGUGCAGAGCAGUGGCGUGCUGUCCUCUGCUGCAUUACGUUGUUUGUCAGGCCCAACGCGGAAAUCUGCAGAUUACAGACCGAGUUGAAACAGACAGUAGACCAGAUGGACAGAUAGUCCAACACACAAAAAAAAGCUACCCUCUCUCGCCAGGUUUGGUGGAGUAAGAUGAGGAAGGCAGCAGAGGGACAGAGCAGCCGGUGGAGCAGACAGACGCUUCGGUCCGGCAUCCGCAGACCUCCUCGCGGCAGCACUCCCAUACGCAUACGCUAAUGCUGCAGCAGCAGCCUGUGGGCUGCCGUCCAGUGUUGUGUGCUGUGUGUGCGGUUCAGUUCAGAGGGGUUUUCAUGUGCAUGUCUGCUGCAUUUGUGUCAUGGGAAAAAUAUUUAUGAAAUCCCCUUGGCGUCCUUCGAGGUUAAAGAAAAGGCUGGAUCACAAAAACAGGGCAAAACACUACAGAGAGGACAACUAUGUCCUAAAGGCUUAGUGGUGAAUUUUAAGUUUAAGGAAUAUUUACCAUUGAAAAUAUUUUUACCUGGCAGGAUAAUUAUCCUGCUGUACUUUGAUAAUCCUAUAUACAAUUUGUGUAGCAAAACCUUUGUCUUUAUGUAUUGCUCUCAGCUUGAUGGUUUCUCAUUCUGGUAUCAGGAGUGAAAAGACGCCCUGGCCUUGUGUAAUUCGUUCCAUCAUCCAUCCAUUUGAUAACACAAAUAAAGAACGCGAGUAAAGGAAAUCAGUUGCACCGCAAAAAUACAGCCUGCGUUUGGUUUGGUCCCAACGUUGCUUUGCUUCACAUGUAAGCACUGUCCAAUUAUUCUCUAUUGACUUUAUAGAUGUUACUUUAAAAUAAAUGUCAUACUCACAGAAAUAUGGGAAUAUGCUUCUUGUUUUGUAUUAUAAAGUGUAUAUAUAUGUAUGUAUCCACCUAGCAGACAUCGAGGGGC